GACGAACGCUGGCGGCGUGCUUAACACAUGCAAGUCGAACGGAAAGGCCCGUCUUUUGUGGCGUGCUCGAGUGUCAAACGUGUGAGUAACACGUGAGUAACCUGCCCUUGACUUUGAGAUAACGUCAGUAAACUGGGGGUAGUAGCGGAUAGGAGCUCCUCCUGCAGGGGGGGGGUUGGAAAGUUUGGGCGGUUGUGGAUGGACACGCGGCUUCUCAGCUUGUUGUUGGGGUCGUGGCUUACCAGGUCUUUGACGGGUAGCCGGCCUGAGAGGGUGACCGGCCACAUUGGGACUGAGAUACGGCGCAGACUCCUACGGGAGGCAGCAGUGGGGAAUAUUGCACAAUGGGCGGAAGACUGAUGCAGCAGCGCCGCGUGCGGGAUGACGGACUUCGGGUUGUAAACAGCUUUCGUCUGUGACGAAGAGUGAGUGGCGGUAAUGGGUAAAGAAGCACCGGCUAACUACGUG
rnacentral:rRNA from 1 species